UGGCAGCUCAGGCCAGGAGCAGCUCACAGAGUGGGGUGGGGCUGAGGGGACGGGAGGAGAUGCUGUUGGGCCAGCCCACAGGGGUUGUCAGAGGCAUCAGGGUGAGUCUGAAAUAAUAAGAAAAGCCAGGCAGAUGGGCAACCAGUUCACCAACCCAAAGGGACUGGUCAGAGAAAGAUCUAGUUCCCAUGGCUCUGGACUGAAACACGGGACUCCAGAGCAGAAUGACAGAGUCUGAAAGGCUGGAGUUAAGCUCCCUGAGUGUAAGGGUUGGAUGGUGAGCAAGAGCUAGACAAGUGAGGAGUCAGAAGAAAAGGACAGCAAGUUAAGGCUUUAGGUGUAUCCCUGCGACCCUGGGAACCACGGGAAGUUUUCAGCAAAGGAGGGCUCUGGCUACAGAUGGAAGAUAUACAGCAGGGGUCCCUGGGGGACAAUACGCAGAGGCUGCCGGGGGCCUGAACUGAUUCAGUGACAGUGGAGAGAGAAAGAGAGAUGAGAGGUGUGAAGGAGACAGAAUGCGCUGGAUUUAGGAUACCUUUGAAUAUAAGAUGCUGGCAAAGCAGAGGUCAAGGUCACGAAUGACUUUCAGACUUACUGACCUGAAGACUGGAGAACGUAACUGAGAUUCCCCACUCGGCCAAUUUUCAGACUUUCACAACACAGGUCACUGUCCCCUUGGAGGCCUCAGUUUCUAAUUCUCAGAGCAAGCAAGUUGGUCAGAGUAGUGGUUUCUAAUUACAGGCCCCAGGGCCAUCCUGCUGGGUGUGGCUGGGCCUCAGGAAAGGAGCCCUGAGCUGGAGUCAGAAGACCUGGCUCGAGUCCUGGCUCUGCCUGCGACAUUAGGCAGGAUACAGUAUUUCUGAACCUGGGUCUUCAUUUGUGUAAAUGGAGAUAAUUAUCCAUUUACUCAAGAAAUAAACACACUGGGCAAAAGAUGAAAAGAAUGAGACUCGGCUUGUGCCUCAGGGAACUCACAGUCCAGGAAGAGAAGCAGACGUAUAAACAGAUUAUUGCAAAGGAGCUUGAUGAGGCCCAGAGGGAUUCUUCAGCAAGCAAGACCUUGAUCAACUCCAUAUUAUUAACACCCAGCAUCACCAGGUGGACGCACCAAUGGUCCAGUGGUGGUUCCAGGCAUCAGAGACUCCAUCUUCCAUAAGCUAAUAUCGACCUAAAGAGACUCAGUAGUGCAGGUUCUGGGGAGCUGGCGCUGUGUUCAGUCCAUGGUUGGACCCCAAUGCCUCACACCAUGCCUGGGAUAUGCCUCCAGGGAGAAUGGCAUCUCAACCACCGCACCUGGACCAUUCAGGAUCUUUAAAGAUUUAGUUGCAUCCACUCAAGAAAUAGGCAGAGAUGUAGCUCAUCUCAGAUUUUCUAACUCUGUUUUAUUUGACCAGUGCACUUUGGGCAGCUCCGCUGUGCCAGUCUCUGGACACAGAGAUGAAUAGGACCUCAAGAAUGUCACAGCCUAUGUGGAGAAAAGGGAACCCUCCUGCACUGCUGGUGGGAAUGCAGUUUGGUGCAGCCACUGUGGAAAACAGUAUGGAGAUUCCUCAAAAGACUAGGAAUAGACUUACC